rnacentral:rRNA from 1 species
ACGCUGGCGGCAUGCUUUACACAUGCAAGUCGGACGGCAGCACAGAGAAGCUUGCUUCUUGGGUGGCGAGUGGCGAACGGGUGAGUAAUAUAUCGGAACGUACCGAGUAAUGGGGGAUAACUAAUCGAAAGAUUAGCUAAUACCGCAUAUUCUCUGAGGAGGAAAGCAGGGGACCUUCGGGCCUUGCGUUAUUCGAGCGGCCGAUAUCUGAUUAGCUAGUUGGUGGGGUAAAGGCCCACCAAGGCGACGAUCAGUAGCGGGUCUGAGAGGAUGAUCCGCCACACUGGGACUGAGACACGGCCCAGACUCCUACGGGAGGCAGCAGUGGGGAAUUUUGGACAAUGGGCGCAAGCCUGAUCCAGCCAUGCCGCGUGUCUGAAGAAGGCCUUCGGGUUGUAAAGGACUUUUGUCAGGGAAGAAAAGGCUGUUGCUAAUACCGACAGCUGAUGACGGUACCUGAAGAAUAAGCACCGGCUAACUACGUGCCAGCAGCCGCGGUAAUACGUAGGGUGCGAGCGUUAAUCGGAAUUACUGGGCGUAAAGCGAGCGCAGACGGUUACUUAAGCAGGAUGUGAAAUCCCCGGGCUCAACCUGGGAACUGCGUUCUGAACUGGGUGACUAGAGUGUGUCAGAGGGAGGUAGAAUUCCACGUGUAGCAGUGAAAUGCGUAGAGACGUGGAGGAAUACCGAUGGCGAAGGCAGCCUCCUGGGAUAACACUGACGUUCAUGCUCGAAAGCGUGGGUAGCAAACAGGAUUAGAUACCCUGGUAGUCCACGCCCUAAACGAUGUCAAUUAGCUGUUGGGCAACUUGAUUGCUUAGUAGCGUAGCUAACGCGUGAAAUUGACCGCCUGGGGAGUACGGUCGCAAGAUUAAAACUCAAAGGAAUUGACGGGGACCCGCACAAGCGGUGGAUGAUGU